rnacentral:rRNA from 1 species
GAUGAACGCUGGCGGCGUGCCUAAUACAUGCAAGUCGAGCGAACAGACGAGGAGCUUGCUCCUCUGACGUUAGCGGCGGACGGGUGAGUAACACGUGUAUAACCUACCUAUAAGACUGGGAUAACUUCGGGAAACCGGAGCUAAUACCGGAUAAUAUAUUGAACCGCAUGGUUCAAUAGUGAAAGACGGUUUUGCUGUCACUUAUAGAUGGAUCCGCGCCGCAUUAGCUAGUUGGUAAGGUAACGGCUUACCAAGGCAACGAUGCGUAGCCGACCUGAGAGGGUGAUCGGCCACACUGGAACUGAGCCACGGUCCAGACUCCUACGGGAGGCAGCAGUAGGGAAUCUUCCGCAAUGGGCGAAAGCCUGACGGAGCAACGCCGCGUGAGUGAUGGAGGUCUUCGGAUCGUAAAACUCUGUUAUUAGGGAAGAACAAAUGUGUAAGUAACUAUGCACGUCUUGACGGUACCUAAUCAGAAAGCCACGGCUAACUACGUG